GCUCUGGCAAGUGCACGUCGGUGACUUUCAUCCAAUACCCUGUGAACCUUUGGCCUCUGCUCGCUUUGGCCGGCAGAGGAAUUUUACACACACUCGAAUGUAAUGAAAUUACUGUCGUGCGCAAGCACUAAUGUACAACUUUCAACAACGGAUCUCUUGGCUCUCGCAUCGAUGAAGAACGCAGCGAAAUGCGAUAAGUAAUGUGAAUUGCAGAAUUCAGUGAAUCAUCGAAUCUUUGAACGCACCUUGCACCCUUUGGUAUUCCGAAGGGUAUGCUCGUUUGAGUGUCAUUGUACUCUCACACUCCCGAUGCUUUUGGAUCGGGAGCGGUGGACUUGGGUGUUGCUGCUUGACCGCGGCUCGCCUCAAAUACGUUAGUGCAACUCUUGGUUGGACAUAGUACGGCGUGAUAAGUGUCUUCGCCGGCACCUCACUAGAGGGUGGGCUGAUCAGGAGCUCUGUGCUU
rnacentral:rRNA from 1 species